AGGGUGGUGAUUGUACAUAAAGCUGCAAACAUACCGGGAUUCUGUGGUAACUCUCAUUCAAAGUGAGAGCCACUUCCUAUUUUCGUACACAACUGGAAGCUGCCAUGGGACAGUGACAGUUAGGAGCAGCAGGACCUCCAGUGAUUGAAAGCAGUGAUCUGUCAAACCACAUAAAUCCGCGGACCUUCGACUGACCAGAUCCAAACAGCCAAACACUAGAGGAGCAGGAUCUUAAAGGCUGAGAAAAGAUAA